rnacentral:rRNA from 1 species
GAUGAACGCUGGCGGCGUGCCUAAUACAUGCAAGUCGAGCGAACAGACGAGGAGCUUACUCCUCUGACGUUAGCGGCGGACGGGUGAGUAACACGUGGAUAACCUACCUAUAAGACUGGGAUAACUUCGGGAAACCGGAGCUAAUACCGGAUAACAUGUUGAACCGCAUGGUUCAACAGUGAAAGACGGUCUUGCUGUCACUUAUAGAUGGAUCCGCGUCGCAUUAGCUAGUUGGCAAGGUAACGGCUUACCAAGGCAACGAUGCGUAGCCGACCUGAGAGGGUGAUCGGCCACACUGGAACUGAGACACGGUCCAGACUCCUACGGGAGGCAGCAGUAGGGAAUCUUACGCAAUGGGCGAAAGCCUGACGGAGCAACGCCGCGUGAGUGAAGAAGGUCUUCGGAUCGUAAAACUCUGUUAUUAGGGAAGAACAAAUGUGUAAGUAACUAUGCACGUCUUGACGGUACCUAAUCAGAAAGCCACGGCUAACUACGUG